AACGUAGGAGACGAACGUUAUCCGGAGUUACUGGGCGUAAAGGGCGUGCAGGCGGUCUGAUAAGUUCGGCGUGAAAUAUUCCGGCUUAACCGGGAUAGGUCGUCGGAGACUGUCGGACUAGAGGGUGAUAGAGGCGUGUGGAAUUCCGGGUGUAGUGGUGAAAUGCGUAGAUAUCAGGAGGAACACCGGCGGCGAAGGCGGCCCUCUGGAUCGUUGCUGACGCUGAUACGCGAAAGCGUGGGGAGCAAACAGG
rnacentral:rRNA from 1 species